UCCCAAAAAUAAACGUCCCAGUUCGGACUGUAGUCUGCAACCCGACUACACGAAGCUGGAAUCGCUAGUAAUCGCGAAUCAGAAUGUCGCGGUGAAUACGUUCCCGGGUCUUGUACACACCGCCCGUCACACCAUGGGAGUCGGGAAUGCCCGAAGUCAGUGACCCAACCAUAUGGAGGGAGCUGCCGAAGGCAGGUCUGAUAACUGGGGUGAAGUCGUAACAAGGUACC
rnacentral:rRNA from 1 species